rnacentral:rRNA from 1 species
GACGAACGCUGGCGGCGUGCUUAACACAUGCAAGUCGAACGGAAAGGCCUCCUUCGGGGGGUACUCGAGUGGCGAACGGGUGAGUAACACGUGAGUAACCUGCCCUUGACUUUGGGAUAACUUCAGGAAACUGGGGCUAAUACCGGAUAGGAGCUCCUGCUGCAUGGUGGGGGUUGGAAAGUUUCGGCGGUUGGGGAUGGACUCGCGGCUUACCAGCUUGUUGGUGGGGUAGUGGCUUACCAAGGCUUUGACGGGUAGCCGGCCUGAGAGGGUGACCGGCCACAUUGGGACUGAGAUACGGCCCAGACUCCUACGGGAGGCAGCAGUGGGGAAUAUUGCACAAUGGGUGGAAGCCUGAUGCAGCAACGCCGUGUGCGGGAUGACGGCCUUCGGGUUGUAAACCGCUUUCGCUCAUGACGAAGCUUUGUGUGACGGUAGUGGGUAAAGAAGCACCGGCUAACUACGUG